UACGGGGGGGGCAAGCGUUGUUCGGAAUUACUGGGCGUAAAGGGCUCGUAGGCGGCCAACUAAGUCGGAUGUGAAAUCCCCAGGCUCAACCUGGGAACUGCAUCCGAUACUGGAUGGCUUGAAUCCGGGAGAGGGAUGCAGAAUUCCAGGUGUAGCGGUGAAAUGCGUAGAUAUCGUAAGGAAGACCAGUGGCGAAGGCGGGUCUCUGGACAGUUCCUGACGCUGAGGCACGAAGGCCAGGGGAGCAAACGGG
rnacentral:rRNA from 1 species